UGGUACUGGUACCAAAACAGAGAUAUAGAUCAAUGGAACAGAACAGAGCCCUCAGAAAUAAUGCCACAUACCUACAACUAUCUGAUCUUUGACAAACCUGACAAAAACAAGCAAUGGGGAAAGGAUUCCCUAUUUAAUAAAUGGUGCUGGGAAAACUGGCUAGCCAUAUGUAGGAAGCUGAAACUGGAUCCCUUCCUUACACCUUAUACAAAAAUCAAUUCAAGAUAGAUUAAAGAUUUAAACAUUAGACCUAAAACCAUAAAAACCCUAGAAGAGAACCUAGGCAUGACCAUUCAGGACAUAGGCAUGGGCAAGGACUUCAUGUCCAAAACACCAAAAGCAAUGGCAACAAAAGACAAAAUUGACAAAUGGGAUCUAAUUAAACUAAAGAGCUUCUGCACAGCAAAAGAAACUACCGUCAGAGUGAACAGGCCACCUACAAAAUGGGAGAAAAUUUUCGCAACCUACUCAUCUGACAAAGGGCUAAUAUCCAGAAUCUACAAUGAACUCAAACAAAUUUACAAGAAAAAAACAAACAACCCCAUCAAAAAGUGGGCAAAGGACAUGAACAGACACUUCUCAAAAGAAGACAUUUAUGCAGCCAAAAAACACAUGGAAAAAUGCUCAUCAUCAUUGGCCAUCAGAGAAAUGCAAAUUAAAACCACAAUGAGAUACCAUCUCACACCAGUUAGAAUGGCAAUCAUUAAAAAGUCAGGAAACAACAGGUGCUGGAGAGGAUGUGGAGAAAUAGGAACACUUUUACACUGUUGGUGGGACUGUAAACUAGUUCAUCCAUUGUGGAAGUCAGUGUGGCGAUUCCUCAGGGAUCUAGAACUAGAAAUACCAUUUUACCCAGCCAUCCCAUUACUGGGUAUAUACCCAAAGCACUAUAAAUCAUGCUGCUAUAAAGACACAUGCACACGUAUGUUUAUUGCGGCAUUAUUCACAAUAGCAAAGACUUGGAACCAACCCAAAUGUCCAACAAUGAUAGACUGGAUUAAGAAAAUGUGGCACAUAUACACCAUGGAAUACUAUGCAGCCAUAAAAAAUGAUGAGUUCAUGUCCUUUGUAGGGACAUAGAUGAAAUUGGAAAUCAUCAUUCUCAGUAAACUAUCGCAAGACCAAAAAACCAAACACCGCAUAUUCUCACUCAUAGGUGGGAAUUGAACAAUGAGAUCACAUGGACACAGGAAGGGG
rnacentral:lncRNA from 1 species